AGGUAAGCUACUAAGAGCGAAUGGUGGAUGCCUUGACUGGUAAAGGCGAUGAAGGACGUACUAGACUGCGAUAAGCUACGGGGAGCUGUCAAGAAGCUUUGAUCCGUAGAUUUCCGAAUGGGGCAACCCAAUGUAUAGAGAUAUACAUUACCUAUAUAGGAGCGAACGAGGGGAAUUGAAACAUCUUAGUACCCUCAGGAAAAGAAAUCAAUAGAGAUUGCGUCAGUAGCGGCGAGCGAAAGCGCAAGAGGGCAAACCCAGUGCUUGCACUGGGGGUUGUAGGACUGCAAUGUGCAAGAGCUGAGUUUAGCAGAACAUUCUGGAAAGUAUAGCCAUAGAGGGUGAUAGUCCCGUAUGCGAAAAACAAAGCUUAGCUAGCAGUAUCCUGAGUAGGGCGGGACACGAGGAAUCCUGUCUGAAUCCGGGUCGACCACGAUCCAACCCUAAAUACUAAUACCAGAUCGAUAGUGCACAAGUACCGUGAGGGAAAGGUGAAAAGAACUGAGGUGAUCAGAGUGAAAUAGAACCUGAAACCAUUUGCUUACAAUCAUUCAGAGCACUAUGUAGCAAUACAGUGUGAUGGACUGCCUUUUGCAUAAUGAGCCUGCGAGUUGUGGUGUCUGGCAAGGUUAAGCAAACGCGAAGCCGUAGCGAAAGCGAGUCUGAAUAGGGCGCUUAGUCAGAUGCUGCAGACCCGAAACGAAGUGAUCUAUCCAUGAGCAAGUUGAAGCUAGUGUAAGAACUAGUGGAGGACUGAACCCAUAGGCGUUGAAAAGCCCCGGGAUGAC
rnacentral:rRNA from 1 species